CCCUUAGAUGUUCUGGGCCGCACGCGCGCUACACUGAUGCAUUCAACGAGUCUAAAACCUGCUCUGAUAGGGGUGGGUAAUCUUUUGAAUGUGCAUCGUGAUUGGGAUAGAUGAUUGCAAUUUUUCAUCUUCAACGAGGAAUGCCUAGUAAACGCAAGUCAUCAGCUUGCAUUGAUUACGUCCCUGCCCUUUGUACACACCGCCCGCCGCUCCUACCGAUUGAAUGAUCCGAUGAAUAUCAUGGAUUGAGGAUUAUAGCAGGUUCGCCUGUCUUGAUCUUCGAGAAGUGAAGUAAAUCUUAUCAUUUAGAGGAAGGAGAAGUCGUAACA
rnacentral:rRNA from 1 species